rnacentral:miRNA from 1 species
GACGUCGCUGGGCCCGGCGUCGCGUCAGGGCUGGCCGGCGGUGGUGGCGGCGGCGGCGGCGGCGGCGGCGGCGGCGGCGGCGAUGGC